UUGUGCGAUCUCAUUUGGCAAGGUAUGUACUACAUUGGUCCUGUUCAGAAAGUAUAUUCCUGUGUCAAUUAGUUGCCUAUUUUCUCCCCUUUCAGAUUCAGGGCAUCAGAUCUUAUGACGAGAUCCUUGAUUUAUUUGAAUGUGAGUUUAGAAGGGUGUGAGAUAAGGAUCUAGUUUCAUUCUUCAUGUAGCUUAUCCAGUUUGACCAGUACUAUUUGUUGAAGAUGCUGUAUUUUCUCCAACAUGUACUAUUGUCCUCUUUCUCAAAAUUCAGGAGUUUAUCAGAGCAAAUGUUUAUGCUUGAGUCCUCAAUUCUAUUUGAUUUAGCAGUGUGUCUGUAUGUCAGUACAUUUUGGGUUUUACUAUAGCUCUAUAGCAUAGUUGAAAUCACGGAGGAUGCUGAUGGUCCCAGUGGAGGUUUUAUUGUUUCAAUUAUCCUGGGUCCUUUAUAUUUCCAUAUGAAUUGAGGUUACUGUUCCAUUUCUGUGAAGAAUUGUUUUAGACUUUUGAUGGGAAUCGCACCAAAUCUGUAGAUUGCUUUUAGUAGGAUAUCCAUUUUACAAAAUUAAGUUUACAGAUCCAUGAGCAUGAGAGGUCAUCGAUCUUCUGAUGUCUUCUUCAGUUUCUUAAAUGUUUUAGUAUAUAACUAUUUCACUUACUUAGAGUUAUUUCAAGGUAUUUUAUUUUAUUUUAAUAUAUUUUAAGGGUAUUGUAAAAGGGAUUAAUUUUCUGAUUCCUGUUUUGGUAUAUUUGUCAUUUUUAUAUAGGAAGGCUACUAUUUUCUGUGUGUUGAUUUUGUAUCUUAGGACUUUGACGAAAGUGUUUAUCAGCUGUAGAAGUUUCCUGGUCUUUUGCUUAUAGAAUCAUCUGCAAACAGGAUUUCUUUGACAUUUUUCUUUCCUAUUUGUAUCCUCUUUAUCUCUUGUCACUUAUUGCUGUAGCUAAGAUUGACUUCAAGCACUAUUUUGAAUAGGUGUGGAGUGAGUGGAGACGCUUCUUUCCUCCUCUUCCCCUCCCUCUCCCUCUUUCUGUCUCUCUUAUUGAUUCUUUCACAUCAAACACCCCAGUCUCUAUCAUCUCCCCAUACCCUCAUACCCUCAUACCCUCAUAUCCACUCUUCAUCCUUGCAACCUCUCCCCCAAAAUAAAACACAUGUACACACACACACAACCACCACCACCAGCAAUAACCAAGCAUAGGAAAUAUCUCAUCCUGGAAGCUGUAGUAUGUCACAGUGUGUCCCACAAUGUAUCUCUGUCCACACAUCUCCAUUUGCAAAUGUUCACAGCAAUGAGUCAUUGGUCUCGUUCAAUAUCUUUAGCUUCUGUGACACCAUCAAUAUUGGAUCCUCAUUCGGACUCCUCCUGGCUAUCUUGUUGUUGCCCUGUGUUAUGUACAACCUUCAGCUUUGAAUUAGCAGAACUAACCCUUUCAUUCAUCCCAACCAUUUGUAGAUACGUUUGUUAGGGUAUAUGCACCUAGAAAUUCAACUAUUUCUUUUAUAUCUUCCAGUUUAGUGGAAUACAAAAUUUUAAAGUAUGUGCUUAUGAUUCUAUGAAUUUUUUCAGUGUCUAUUGUAAAGUCUUGCUUUUUGGUUCUAAUUUUAUUGAUUUGUAUUGAAUUUCUUUUUCUUUUUUCAAAGAACUCUUUGUUUCUUGAUUCUGUUGUUUUUUCAUAUCUAUUUGAUUGUUUUCAUUUGUCCUUGUGGAAAAUUUUAUUUCUCUAUUAAUUUUAAUAGUUUUGCUGGAUAUUCUUGGUUGAGAGUUUUUGGAGAACAUGAAACAUAUCUUUCCAUGUCCCUUUGAGUUUGAAAUUUCUGUCAGAUAAUCAACCAGAUGUUAUUUUGCCUUUAUAAGUGAUUUGACUUUUUCUUGCAGUUUUCAAUAUUCUUUCUUUAUUCUGCCUUUAAUAUUUUAAUUAUAAUAUGCUAUGGAGAGUUUCUUUUCUUCUCAUAUCUAUUUGGAGUUCUGGAGGUACGAGGAUGGGCAACUGUGUGAACAGUUUUAUAAUGUGAUUUUUCUGAAAAUAGAAUCUGUGCCUUUGAUGUGAUAAUUUUUCUCCUUUCCCAUGCCUAUACUCUGAAAGUUAGGUCUUUUCAUGGUACGCAAGUGUUUUCCUUUCUUCUGUUCGUGGGAGGUACAGACACACACACACACAUAUAUAAUUUCUAGUAUUGUAUCUAGAAAUUGGAUAUAUAUAUACUAUAUAAUCUUAUCACUGAAUUUUAAAGUGGUAAAGUUUCUCUGCAUUGUCUUUCAGCCUUGAUUUCCUUGUGAUCCCUUGUAUUGGUAAGGUCUUGCAUAGAGGGUUUUAUUUGGGUUUUUCACUUUUUGCAUCCUUUCAGUUUAGUUUUUCUUCAAUAAUUCUGUCUUAUUAUAUUUUCAUCUCAUGUAUUAGCUUCCUUAUUUCAUUCAUCUCUCUCUUUUUUUAUCUUUGAGUUUUCUGAAACCAGUUUAGACAGUGUUUUGAAUUUCUUCUUUGGAAGAUCUUCAAAGCCAUUCUCAUUGGGUUCCAUUAUUAUGAGAUUAGUGAUUUUUGGAGGAGACAUGUCUUAGAUUUUUAUAUGGAUUUUUUCUUUGUUUUUGUGACAAUAUUUAUGCAUUCGGAGUUUAUUGAUUAAAUGAGAAUGUGGGCCUGGGGAUGAUUGUCUGGGUAGGACUUGCCAGUCAGUACCAGGAGCUGGAGAAAGUAUGGAAUCAGGGGCAAGAUAUUCGGGGUGCAAGAUCCCUUAUUGGUAAUCCCCAGGGACUCGGACAACAAGGGAAUUCUGGAUGCACUAGUUAGGGCCUAGCUUUCUUUUCUUUCUCAUGCAGGAAGCUGGGCAGAUUGGGAAGUGCAGGUUGAGUGGUUUGGACAUGAUGGGCUCUUACUUCUGUGUGGUGGGAACUAGACAGAUUAUAAUACCUAUGUAUUUUUUAAAAGAUUAUAGAACUAUAUGUGUGUAUAUGUGUACAUAUAACUAUUUGCAUAUGACUGACUAUGCAUAAUAGAGUAAAAAAAAACAUCAGAUACUCUGGAACUGGCAUUACAGGAAGUGUGAGCCACCUACCUGGGUGUUGUGAAUCAAAAUCAGGUUCUCUGCAAGAGUAGUAAAUGCUCUUAACUGAGCCUUCUCUUCAGUCCCUUCCCAGGUAGUUGUACAAUGUGAUGUUUUAUUCAGUUUUCACAUAUUUUAUUGAGAAUUUUUGUGUCUACAUUCAACAGAGAAAUUAGAUGAUGCUCUUUACUGAUUUUUGAAUCAGAGUAACAAUGACAUUAUCUAAAACAUUUAAUGAUCUUUUUCCUUUUUAUUUUAUGAAAUAAUUUGAAGAGCAAAUGCAAAUUUCUGGUAAAGUUCAGCAUUGAAUCACUCUGUCUAUGCAUUCCCUUAACUGUGCAACUUUUUACUGAUGCUUCAGUUUCAUUGUUGUAAAUCUGAGUUGUUUGUGUAUUAUGCUAAGUAUUGAAAUCUAGAAAUUGGUUAGUUUCUUCUAGAUGUUUUUACUUACUAGAAUACAUGGUUUUUUAAAAAAAUACUCUAAAAUAUGUUUAUUGUAACUAAUGAAUAUAAAAAUCUGGUAGAUGUUUUCAAACAUUCUCCAAAGAAAGUAAAACCCUCACCCGUGCCCCACUUUUCAUGAAAUGCAGGAAUAACAACCUGGACAGAGAAGCACACAUAUCUACACACAAGAUUUUCAUUCCAACAAUUGGUCCUAAAAGGCUCCAAUACAUUUCUAAGUAAAGGUCCAUUAAAUUAAGCCACAAGUUGUUCGACACUUUCAUAGUUUAACUUUGUUCCAAUCAGCAUUAUGAUAUUCAUUCAAAAUACUGAGAGACAAGAGGUGAUUGUGAGAGAUAACCAAAACAUGUGACUCUACAAAAUUACAAAUGUUCAUGAGGACUCAGACUGUGGAAUUGAACAUUAACAUAGAAAUGAAUCUGAGAAAAUCUAUGUAUAGUUUAGCCUUAUUAGAAGAACUUAUUUAACUUAUUAAUCAGAAUAAAUUUCUUCAAACACAUUUCUCAUCAAACACAGAUUGUCCACAGCCAAUUUCACAUGAGGCAGUUGGGCUGUUUAGUGACAUUCUAGUGAAAUUCUCACGGCACAGGGAAUCAUCCGUUACCCCACACCAUGAAGCUGGCUCAUCAGCCAUCUAGAUCACCCUUCACUGACCCCACCUACACAUCUGAAUGGACACACACACACACACACACACACACACACACACGGAUCUCUCUGUGAAUGACAUCAACUGUGUAAUGAAGCCAUCCAUCCUAAGGCUGAUGGAACCACACAGUCCAGGGUGAGGGGACCACCUUGCCAAAGGUAUAUGUAAAGGGAGGAUACUGACCAUACUUUUAAUAUAUAAGACAUUUAAAACAAGCAGGAUGUUCCCACACAGAUUGACUAGAAACACUUUUCACCCUAAAGAAGAGACUCAAGUAUUCACAAUUUACAAGAAUUCUGUACAGUACAUGUUUUCAAAGUAUUACCUAGUAAAGCCACUGAAUUUUACAGAUAACUGUUGUAAUGUCCUUGUCAUUAAUUUUAAUAAUUUUGGUAUUCUGUCAUUUUCAUUAGUUCUACAAAGGAUUUGUCUAUUGACUUAGUCAGGGUUUCUAUUCCUGCACAAACAUCAUGACCAAGAAGCAAGUUGGGAGGAAAGGGUUUAUUCAGCUUACAUUUCCACAUUGCUGUUCCUGACCAAGGAAGUCAGGACUGGAACUCAAACAGGUCAGGAAGCAGGAGCUGAUACACAGGCCAUAGAGAGAUGUUAGUUACUGGCUUCCUUCCCCUGGCUUGCUCAGCCUGCUCUCUUAUAGAACCCAAGACUACCAGCCCAGAGAUGGUCCCACCCACAAGGGGCCUCUUCCCCUUGAUCACUAAUUGAGAAAAUGCCCCACAGCUGGACCUCAUGGAGGCAUUUCCCCAACUGAAGCUCGUUUCUGUGAUAACUCCAGCCUGUGUCAAGUUGACACACAAAACCAGCCAGUACAUCUAUCUUUUAUAGUAACCCACUCUGUUUCAUUAAUUACUUCUAAUUGUUCUUUUAGUCAGUUUCCAUUUCAUUAAUUUCUCCUUUAAUCAUUAUUAUUUCUUUCUGUCUACUAAUUUUGUGUUUGGCAUUUUCCCUGUGUUUCUAAGAAUUUGAACUAUAGUCACUAGACUAUAAGUUUUGUCUGAUUUUUUAAAAAUUAUUUAUUUAUUUUUGGUCACUAUUUUUAGAUAUUUUAAUUUAAUCUCUAUGAGUGCUCUAUUUGUAUGAACACCUGAAUGCCAGAAGAGGGAAGCAGAUCACAUUGUAGAUGAUUAUGAGCCCCCAUGGAGUUUCUGGGAAUUGAACUCAGGACCUCGGGAAAGAGCAGUCAGUGCUCUUAAGAGUUCCUCUCUCUGUCUGGAAGCCCCACCUUAUGAUUCUGCCUUUUGCUAUAGGCCAUAGGCCUUUUAUUUUAAGCAAUCAGAACAUGCCUUAUGCAGGUAAGGUGAAUGCUGAGAAGGCAGAUGUAAUUGUUAAAGAGAUGAAUGCCAUGAAAGAGAAAUCUGGUACCUUCCCUUGGAACAGCAGCCACAUGGUCUAAGAAGAGUAACUCGCCAAAGAACUUCUGAUAUUCUGGCUGAUUCUUUCUGCUUCUGUGGACUCAUGCUGACAGAGCCUCACCAUUUCUUCUGAAUCCAUCAACCAAUACUGAUUCUGUUUGGUGUUUUCCAAUUAGACUGGACUGCUGCUACUGGUUUGUGUUUCAUGUUUUGGACUGGACUAUUGAUAUUCUGACAACAAAGAUUGGGAUCUCUCCAAAGAACUACUUCUAAACAGGUCCACAGCUCCUGUUUCCUAUUAACCUUUCCUUCACCCUACCUCUGGUAGGUGGGAUAGAAGGGAACCAUAUAAGAACCCUGAUUAAAAUAAGUUUUGAAAAAUCCAAGCCUACAAGGGUACCUGGUACUUUGUAUGCUAACUCAAAAUUAAAUUAAAAUUUCAAAGAUAAUAUGCCA